AGAGUUUGAUCAUGGCUCAGAACGAACGCUGGCGGCGUGCUUAACACAUGCAAGUCGAGUGCGCGCCUGUAGCAAUACAGGUGGCGCACGGCGCACGGGUGCGUAACACGUGGGUAACCUGCCCUUUGGUGGGGAAUAACUCCGCGAAAGCGGAGCUAAUUCCGCAUAAGAUCCGCAAGGAUGAAAGCCGCAAGGCGCCG
rnacentral:rRNA from 1 species